GAUGAACGCUAGCGGCAGGCUUAAUACAUGCAAGUCGAGGGGUAGCAAGAUUGUAGCAAUACAAUUGUUGACGACCGGCAAACGGGUGCGGAACACGUACACAACCUUCCUACAAGUGGGGAAUAGCCCAGAGAAAUUUGGAUUAAUACCCCGUAACAUAGCGAUGUGGCAUCACAUUGCUAUUAUAGCUUCGGCGCUUGUUGAUGGGUGUGCGGCUGAUUAGAUAGUUGGCGGGGUAAC
rnacentral:rRNA from 1 species